GUUGAUUGACUUUAAGAAUAACUUCGUCUUGUUCUUCCAGAAGUCAUACUUUACUCCAUCGAACCUGGGAGGUUUGUUCGAUGCAAGACCAGUACUGUUUUCACCAUUUGAAGCCAUAGUUGUUGUUGUAAGAUGUUAGUCUGACUUCAACGGAACUUGGCUCUGAUACCACUUGUUGGAUCGAGAUCCGAGGCUAUAAGGGGGGAUAAUAGCCUCUUUUCGAUUUAUACAGGUUGAUUGCGGAAUUACCUGUAAACGCUUAAUAAACAAAUGGUUGAACAAUAAUGAUAUAAAGAUAUUAUAACUUUGAUUGAUAUAAUAACGUAAUUAUUACUCUUCGAAGCUUACCACAGUAUAUGAAUACUGAGUCAACUUGCUUGAUAGUGUUUUACACAUAACUAUAGUAUAUGAAUACUAAGUUAUAUUGUAAACACAAAUUGUAUUGUAGAGUAAAUGACCAGAUAACUGGAUAUAUUGAUAAGCAAGUAAAUGACCAGAUAACUGGAUAUAUUGAUAAGCAAGUAAAUGACCAGAUAACUGGAUAUAUAUGAUAAGUAAUACUUGAACAAAUAUAAGGAUUUAAAGC
rnacentral:lncRNA from 1 species